rnacentral:rRNA from 1 species
AGAGUUUGAUCCUGGCUCAGGAUGAACGCUGGCGGCGUGCCUAACACAUGCAAGUCGAACGGACCUUGAGAAUUGAAGACUUCGGUUGAAUUUCCUUUAUGGUUAGUGGCAAACGGGUGAGUAAUACAUAAGUAAUCUGCCUUUAAGUCUAGGAUAACUUUUCGAAAGAGAGGCUAAUACUGGAUAUUCUUUUUCUUUCGCAUGUUAGAAAAAGGAAAGAUUUAUCGCUUAAUGAGGAGCUUAUGCCUGAUUAGCUAGUUGGUAGGGUAAAUGCCUACCAAGGCUACGAUCAGUAGCUGGUCUGAGAGGAUGGUCAGCCACACUGGGACUGAGAUACGGCCCAGACUCCUACGGGAGGCAGCAGUGGGGAAUAUUGCGCAAUGGGGGAAACCCUGACGCAGCAACGCCGCGUGAGUGACGAAGUCUUUCGGGAUGUAAAGCUCUGUCAAGAAGGAAGAUAAUGACGGUACUUCUAGAGGAAGCCCCGGCUAACUACGUGCCAGCAGCCGCGGUAAUACGUAGGGGGCAAGCGUUAUCCGGAUUUACUGGGCAUAAAGAGCAUGUAGGCGGUAUCUUAAGACGGAUGUUAAAGGCUUCAGCUUAACUGAAGUUCGCAUUCGAAACUGAGUUACUAGAGAUCAGAAGAGGAAAGCGGAACUCACGGUGUAGCGGUGGAAUGCGUAGAUAUCGUGAGGAACACCAGUUGCGAAGGCGGCUUUCUGGUCUGUAUCUGACGCUGAGAUGCGAAAGCGUGGGGAGCGAACGGGAUUAGAUACCCCGGUAGUCCACGCCGUAAACUUUGUUCACUAGGUGUAGGAGGUAUCGACCCCUUCUGUGCCACAGAUAAUUCGUUAAGUGAACCGCCUGGGGAGUACGACCGCAAGGUUAAAACUCAAAGGAAUUGACGGGGGCCCGCACAAGCAGUGGAGCAUGUGGUUUAAUUCGACGAUACGCGAAAGACCUUACCAGGGCUUGACAUCUGUAGAAUUCACUGGAAACAGAGAAGUGCCCGCAAGGGAGCUACAAGACAGGUGGUGCAUGGUUGUCGUCAGCUCGUGUCGUGAGAUGUUGGGUUAAGUCCCGCAACGAGCGCAACCCCUGUUCAGUGUUGCCAGCACGUAAUGGUGGGAACUCACUGGAGACUGCCUGUGGAAAGCAGGAGGAAGGUAGGGAUGACGUCAAAUCAUCAUGCCCCUUACGCCCUGGGCAACACACAUGCUACAAUGGCUGGUACAAAGGGUUGCGAAGCCGCGAGGUGAAGCUAAUCUCAAAAAACCAGCCUAAGUUCGGAUUGUAGUCUGCAACUCGACUACAUGAAGCUGGAAUUGCUAGUAAACGCAGAUCAGAACGCUGCGUUGAAUACGUUCCCGGGCCUUGUACACACCGCCCGUCACACCAUGAGAGUCGGAAGCACCCGAAGCCAAUGUGCCAACCCUUUUGGGAGGUAGUUGUUGAAGGUGAAGUCGGCGAUUGGGGUGAAGUCGGAACAAGGUA